UACGUAGGGUGCAAGCGUUGUCCGGAAUUAUUGGGCGUAAAGAGCUCGUAGGCGGUCUGUCGCGUCUGCUGUGAAAACUCAGGGCUUAACCCUGAGCUUGCAGUGGGUACGGGCAGGCUAGAGUUCGGCAGGGGAGACUGGAAUUCCUGGUGUAGCGGUGAAAUGCGCAGAUAUCAGGAGGAACACCGGUGGCGAAGGCGGGUCUCUGGGCCGAUACUGACACUGAGGAGCGAAAGCGUGGGGAGCGAACAGG
rnacentral:rRNA from 1 species